rnacentral:tRNA from 1 species
GGGUCUGUAGCUUAAUGGUGGAGCGCCGCUCUUAUAUGGGUACGCUCUAACAAACUAAGUAAAGCGGAGGCCGGGGGUUCGAUCCCCCUCAGACCCA